rnacentral:lncRNA from 1 species
UAUCUCUAUGUAAUCCCGACGUGUGGGCCUUUCUUUCAUAUUUCCUGAUAACCCCCUGCAGAAAUAGACAAACACCAAAACUCGUGGAAUUCUGUCAGAUAAAACCCUAAGUCUGGAUGUUGGUUUCAUUUGGAUCCUUUUCUUUGUUUAUUUGAUAAUUAAAUUUGAUACUUAAGGACCGUCAACAUUGAGCCUAAAACUUGUGGGUAGCAAAUGCUUGAUCUAAGUCUAGGUAGUUGACGAAUAUGAUAUGGGAAAGUUUUGUGCUCCUGUCAAUCUUACUCCUAGAGAUACUAGAGUUCUAGAGAAUUUUAUUUUGAAAAUCUUAAAUUGCUACAUGAUGAGUUCCGUUAUGACAAGAGUUUAAAAUUCCUACCAUAACCAAAUACUCAUGCUUACUAGAUUAGAAAAGCCUUCCACUUAUAUUUCAACCUAUAAGCAUUGAGGGUAGUUAAGUUGUGUAUACCCUAAGGAAAUAGUCAUGCAGUUAAAGUCAAUAUUAUGUGUUCUCCAUUCAUUGAUCUUAGCUACUUCUGUCCUCAGAAGCACGCAACCACUUACCAUCCACCACAAUUCACUAUGUGCUACUUCUUUUCCUAGAAGUACCAUCGACAUAUACGCACUACAUUAUAUAGGAGAAGACACCCAAAUAUAUUCAUUAUGUCCUAUUCUACUUAUCCAAUAAAGCUCCAGUUAUUUCAGUUGAUACUCCUUAUUGUGAUUAGUGCAUUAAAAGGGUUGGUUGAUCUAAAAAGAGAAAAGAAAAGAAAAAAAGAGACAAAAGAGAACAAAGAGGACAAAAGGUCGCAAAAGAAAAGGAAGACAGUCAAGACCUUCUUAUCAGAUUAGGUUGGUAUCUUAUCCCUAGUGAGCAAUUGAAGAAUUAGAUAUUCACCAUCAGUUAUCACCUCCCCAUUAUCACCAUCAUUCUUAUCAUUCACUUCAUUCACUGCACUCACAUGCACAUAUGACAUGAUUGUGUAAUUAGUUUCUCUGGAUCCAUAGUUUAACUAUGCAAUACAUGCAAGUAGGUUUGAAUUGUCUUUUCCACCUAUGAGCUCCACAUAAGCCUAUUAGAAGUAGGGUGAG